AUUGCUUCUCAGCCUUUUGGCUAAGAUCAAGUAUAGUAUCUGUUCUUAUCAGUUUAGUAUCUGAUACGUCCUUGAUGACUUUAUAUUAAACAGAUUUUUGGGUUCAGAAGUUGGACUCAGAGCUUGCUCCCUCUGCUCCAUUCAUCAUCCGCUAUUGCAGUGCCUCCAGAAACUGUGAACUUUCU
rnacentral:snRNA from 1 species